UGAUUAUUUCAAAGGGAAAUAAAGGCAAUCAUCCCAUCAAUUUUAAAGAACAUUUUAAAAGAGAGCUGAGACAAUGGGAAGAUAUUGAUAGGCGGUUUGCACAAAACUUCCAAACUAUUGAAGCAUCCACUUCCGAGACGGCAGGUGAUACUGAAGCACCCUCUUUCGAGACGACAUGUGAUCACCAAUCACCCAAUAUUGAGUAUAGCACUAGUGGAGCAUAUGGGAUUCCGGUGGUUGAGGAAACAAAUAUUCAACUCGAGCAGAAUGAGGUUGAGUUGAAUGACAAUGUGGAAAUUGUUAACGACAUUGGGGAU